CACGUCUGCUGUGAAAACGCGAGGCUCAACCUCGCGCCUGCARUGGGUACGGGCAGACUAGAGUGCGGUAGGGGAGAUUGGAAUUCCUGGUGUAGCGGUGGAAUGCGCAGAUAUCAGGAGGAACACCGAUGGCGAAGGCAGAUCUCUGGGCCGUAACUGACGCUGAGGAGCGAAAGGGUGGGGAGCAAACAGGCUUAGAUACCCUGGUAGUCCACCCCGUAAACGUUGGGAACUAGUUGUGGGGUCCAUUCCACGGAUUCCGUGACGCAGCUAACGCAUUAAGUUCCCCGCCUGGGGAGUACGGCCGCAAGGCUAAAACUCAAAGGAAUUGACGGGGACCCGCACAAGCGGCGGAGCAUGCGGAUUAAUUCGAUGCAACGCGAAGAACCUUACCAAGGCUUGACAUAUACGAGAACACUGCAGAAAUGCAGGACUCUUUGGACACUCGUAAACAGGUGGUGCAUGGUUGUCGUCAGCUCGUGUCGUGAGAUGUUGGGUUAAGUCCCGCAACGAGCGCAACCCUCGUUCUAUGUUGCCAGCACGUAAUGGUGGGAACUCAUGGGAUACUGCCGGGGUCAACUCGGAGGAAGGUGGGGAUGACGUCAAAUCAUCAUGCCCCUUAUGUCUUGGGCUUCACGCAUGCUACAAUGGCCGGUACAAAGGGCUGCAAUACCGCAAGGUGGAGCGAAUCCCAAAAAGCCGGUCCCAGUUCGGAUUGAGGUCUGCAACUCGACCUCAUGAAGUCGGAGUCGCU
rnacentral:rRNA from 1 species